rnacentral:rRNA from 1 species
AUGGGCCGCCUCCCUCCUCCUCCUUCCCAUCGGGAUCGGGCAGGAGGAGCGCAGGAAGGUCAUGGGUCACCUCCCUCAUCCUCCCCAUCGGGACCGGGCAGGAGGAUGAGCGCCCUCCCUCGUGACCGCCUCAACGGGAGAAGGGAUGCGGCCGUCGCUGCCGACGAGAACAUCGCUAGUGAGCGCGGUGGCAGCCAUCGACGACCUCGAGCGUGUGGGCGCGUUGGUGAGCGCGGCGGCGGUCGUGGCCGUGGCCGAGCUCGAGCCCUGGCGCAGCGGCGCGUUGUUGAGCACGGUGGCGGCCCGACCAUGGCCGAGCUCGAGCGUCUCAGUCUCCGAUGGCUCCUGCGUGUGCCGCUCCUGGGUUCUGAAGAGCCACUGUUUGUUCCGUUCGUCGAGGAUUCGACCGUCCUGCCGACUACUGCUGCGUUGAGAUGUUGCAAGGCUUCGGGUGUGUGA